AGCCCGUGGUUCAGGUGGCCGGUCGGGCUGGAAGGGCAGGGAUGAGGGAUGGGACUCAUCCCAGGGGAUGCUCCUCCAAAGCUUUUAUCAGGCGAGUGCAGUGGCUCGCGCCUGUAAUUCCUGCACUUUGGGAGGCUAAGGGUCUCACUCUGUUGUCUAGGCUCAAAUGCAGCGACCUGAUCAUGGAUCAAUGCAGUCCUCAACUUACUGGGCUCAGAGACGGGGUUUCACCAUAUUGGCCAGGCUGGUCUUGAACUCCUGACCUUGUGAUCCACCCCACCUUGGCCUCCCAAAGUGCUGGGAUUACAGGACUAAAGGCUUCUUAGCACAAACACCACCCCUGGAGUUCCCAGUACAUCAAUACCAGCCUGGGGAUCACGUUCUCAUCAAGAGUUGGAAGAGGGAAAGCUUGAACCAGCUUAGGAGGACCUUAUCUGGUACUCUUGAUGAAUGAAACAGCAAUCUGAAUGGCUGAAAAAGGAUGGACCCAGCAUAUGCGGGGAGAAAACUUGGCAUUCUUUGGGAAUCUAACAGGAUGCAGUGAACCCAAGCCUUUUCAAGAGCUCAAC
rnacentral:antisense_RNA from 1 species